rnacentral:lncRNA from 1 species
GGUGAAUACAACUGUCGCAGAAAGUCAUUCAGUUUGGGGAAAAAUUGGAGAGGGAGAAUUCAAAGAAAAAGAGUACGAAAUUUAUACGCAAAAAAUCAAAUGUAAUAUCUUCCACAAUAUUCUCCUUUCGUUUUCUUGAUUAUUUCUAUAUCCAUAACGAUCGAAGAAACGAAAGAAGAAAUCCGAAGCCUCGAUUAAAAAUUUUCGAAAGAUAAUUAGGGUGGCAGGGUCCAGGCAAAAUCACGAAAAAGAAAAAUGAUACAUUGGUUAAAGCAGAUAAAGAUCGCUUUUGGAGCUUCGUUUCUAUGGCUCGUUUGCUUGAUUUACUUCACCCAGGUUCUCUUCAUUCGGCAGAUUAAUUUUUAUAUUUUAUUUUUUGCAUUGCUUCUUGAUGGGGGUUUUUAUAUCUUGGAAAUUGUUUAAAUGUGGAGCGGCGGAAUUUUUUUAUGUGUUUAUGAAUUAUUGAUCCAUUGAUUUCUUGUUUAGAUGUUCUGAUUUUUGUUAUAUUAUUAGUUUUCAAUUUUUAUACAACACAUUUAGAAUAUCUAAUUCCGUAUUUCCGUUCAGAGUUAUUUAAAAUUUCCCGGAAUCUGUUGUUAUAAAUAAUUAUGAUUAGAAUUUCCGAAACUAUCAUCAUUGACAAUUUUCCAGUUUGGGGAUCUUGUGCUUCAAGAUUAUUAAGGCAACUCCAUUUGAAUUGUAUCCAUACAUGUUAAAUUUGCUCCAUUUCUGCGUAAAGCAUGAAUAAAAUUUUAAAUUUCACUUGAUAUCAGUUCUUCAUAGUGAUGAAAUAAAGGAAUUAUAGUGGAAAUUUGUAUGGAAAUGCUGUUUUAGCUGCCAGCAGUCGGCCUCGUGAUGCUUUCUGUAUCCUACAUGUCCAAACCUUAUUCUUUUAGCAUGAUUAGAGUGGCUAUUCAUGAUGGUGCUAGUUCCCUUGUGAAGAUAAUUGCCUUGCGUACACUACAAGGUGAUCUAAAAUAAGUCAUCAUAAAUGCAUUUCUAACUCAUAGAUUACAUGCUGUCGAAAUUACCUACGAGUUAUUAAAAGAAGGACUCUUUUAUAUAGAAUUAACUGUCUUUUAAAAAGAGGAAGACCAUAUUUGCUAAUAGCUAUUGAUUAGCAUUAUGGUUAUGACCACUAUUUUAUUUUUUCAAAAUUCUCUAUGCCUUUCAAUCAAGAAUUACAUUUUUCUUCAUCAAAUGGUGAAAUUUGGCAAUAACAAUACUCACUGAAUGACCUUAACAAAGCAAGCUGGAAGUAUAGGAUUCAUGUACCAUAUACCGUACUAGAACUGAAUAUGGCUUUGGUCUGUCAGUCGAGCAGAGUCCAGAGACUUGUUAGGACAAAAUAACAUGAGAAAGUAUAUUACUGUGGUGAAUUUGAGAUGUAGCAGUUUUGAUCAAAUCAAGGAGCUAAAUUUGGUUUGCAUGUGUUUUUUUAUGGGCUAAACUCAACCAGGGGCGGAUUUACAUGGUGUCUUGUGGGUUCAGCUGACCUCACAAAUUUUUUUAAAUUUAAGGGUUUCAAGGGUUUUAUUUGGUGGAGGAAAUGGAGUAAACGUGGCAAAAGAGGAGAAUAUGAAAUUGGGUUUUUUGUGUGGAUAGAGGAGAGAGGGAUUGCUUGAUUUUAGGGGAGGAAAAUGAGUUUUGUGAGGGUGAAUUGUUGGGUGGCCACCAUUUCCAUUGCUACAAUUUCUUCCGUGUUUUUGAAGUGCAUAAAAAUUUGUGUUGAUUUGGGGAUGAAUUUUGGAUGGUGCUGGGAUUUAGGCGGACGUUUCAUGUUUAACAAAUUUUUUCAAGGACCAAAUUUGUGAGAGAAGGAUAAAAAAUAGCCUUACUUAUUAUCAUUAUUAUUUAUAAAAAAAAAUGUUUGGCUAAGCUUGAAUAGUUUAUUCGCUUAAUUUCAGCAAUGGUCACAAAAGUCUUUUAAGUUACAUUAAUGGUCAUUGAAUAGUUUAUUUGGUUAAUUUCAUCUUUUUUUCGAUAAAAACAAAUUAUUUCAAUUGUGUGAGUGUUAUCCCAAGAUUUUACACUAGUCGAGAUCUUGACACUUGAUGAACAAAUUAUUGAUAUUCUAAUUGUGCAUAUUGAGGACAAUUUAUUUGACAAUAUUGAUAACAAUACAACUAUAUGGCUUUUCAGAAUAUGAAAAUGAGCAGGCAAUGAUUGUCAUCAAUGUUUUGUUGCUCGAAAUUUAUUUGUAACCUAAAUUUUGACCCUACAAUGAAAAGUGUCAGGCUCCGUCCCUGAACUCAACAGAGGGAAAAUGUGGGGCAGAUAAAAUGCUUUUCUAAUUAAGAUUAACCAAUGUGCAAUGGAUACCAUCAAAGCUUCCAGUUUGCUAGAUAUCCACUGGCAAACUUUUGGUUAUUGAUUUAGUCAUUUGUAACAACCUACCCUAGACAUGAUGGAUAGGUCACUAUGACAUCAGUAAUUCAAGAUAUGUUGGUGCUUUGUAUGUCUUGUAUUGAAGCGAACUUCCAAGAAAUUGGUGGGCAUUUCACUCCUAAGCAGCUAACUUCCGUGGGCAUUGUCUCAGGAGUAUUGUAUAAAAUGUUCGUGUGGUUCCUUAAUUUUGGAAAUCUUUUUUGAUUUUGCUAAUAAUCAUGCUUGCUGAAUGUGCAAAAAUCAAAACAAUGGCAAUGAACAUUUUUCUGAGGUUCAUAUAGUAAAUACCGACACUGUCUUUUUUCUCGAUAGUCCCCUAUUCAUCACAGUCUAUUAAGCAUAAAAUAUUUUUUUUCACAAAUUAGUUAGCUUCUGGGUGCAGAAAAUUGGAAUUAGUGGUUGUGAAUCAUUCUAUUAGGGGUAAACUAAACUUCACUCAAUAGUAUAUGAUGGAUCAAUGAUUUCGUAUCAUUUUGAACAUCUCUUGAAGAUAUAAUGACUAUUGAUGGUCAUCUGUUGCAUACUUAUGUUCACUGAAGUUAUAUGUUGUAAAUUCUAAUCCUCACACUUAUUUCUCCAUGAUCCUAUGGGAGCAGGGUUUCAGGUCAUUCGUAUGGACUGCUGUCUCGUACCAGCUAAAAGACAAUCUAAAGUUAUCACCCUCAGCAUCUCAAUUUGUGACCUCAGUAGCAUUUUUUCCAUGGAGUAUUAAACCAUUAUAUGGGUAUGGAUCUAGCUGUGCUUAUCAUGAAUUACAAGCUUGAUUUAGAUAUAGUCCAUUUACAUGUGCUUCUUUUGUAACAUCUCUUUAGCUGUGCUUCUUUUGUAACACUAGUCUAGCCUGAUUCAAAUAUACAGCCAUAUAGGCUACCUAGCUGCACUUCUCAUGUAAUACUAGCUCGAUUUAAAAUUAUGGGCUCUCAUUGGUUCCUCCUUAAGAAAGUCCCU